GUCCAAUACAAGUAUUCCCAGCAGUGGUGUCUCAACUAUCAUCUAGACUGCAAACGUCCUGAGAGGAGCCUCAUGUCUUCUUACAACAUCACAUGAAAGGAGCAGGCUAACUUGUUAGCUUCCAGAUAGUGAAGAUCAGAGUGUUGAAAGACAACCUGUGAUGAAUAUACAGAUGGAUAGAAAACUUGGAGCAACGGAAGUGUUGGAAGAAAAAUGGGGCUAAUGUAGGCUAAAGAAAUUAAAUUUGCCAUAAAUCUUCCGUUAAAGCUUCUAAACCAUAAUGAAUUUUCCUUGUGGCAUCUGCCACCUGAAUCCUUCCAUUUAUGUCUGCAUGAACCUUUUUCUGUGUGUCUCAAAGUUCUACCGACUAUUAUGUGUGUUGGGGAUGUGCCUGUGUGUGCCUGAGUUUGU